rnacentral:rRNA from 1 species
AUGGAACCAAGACUGGCUGUUAUCCUUGGACACUACUUGACUGCGUUUUGCCCUUACCUGAGGCGUCAUCCACCUGUAGUUCCUUCAGUUGUGAAAAAACUUUUUGAACUGUUGUCAUCAAUCACUGCCAGCUCUCAUGAUCUUUCAACAGCCCAGAGUGCCCAAUCGCAAAUAUGUUCAUGUAUCAUUCGCGUAUGCAAAGCUGUUGAUAGCACUGCUCUUCCUUCAGAUAUGAAGGAUUUCUUCUCUCCUUACAUCACCGAAGAAGAUGUGCUAGCCUUUGGGAUGCUAGACAGAGCAAAUUAUUCCAUCGAACAGAACAAAGGGGGAGAUGGGAGUCAAGACAGACGCACUAUUGACCCCUUCUGUAGAGGCAAGAGUUCGAGCCUAAGUUCUGAAUCUGAAAUUAAUGCUGGAAGUUCUAGCAGCUGUUCUCUACCUCGUACUCCUUUAAUUGGGGAAUCUUAUUGUUCUCUUCCUACACAAAGGCAAGUGCCUCAUAUGAAUCGGGAACUUCAAAAUUCUUCUACUUCUGUGAAGCAAGUGGUCAAUGACACCGAUAAAUCAAGAUUGGAGGCCCUGGCUGUUAACAAUCUUGAUGAUCAAGAAUACGAUCCUGUUCAGGGUAGUGCUACUAGUAAUUUGGAAAGAUCCACCGAGUCUUUUGUGCCAAAAUGGCUGGGUAAGUUUAAAGUAACGCCAGGCUAUCAAGGAAAGGCCAAGCUACUUCUUUGGGAGCAUAAUCUCCUGUCUGAAGCAUUCAUCAGUGUGACGGCCUGCCCUGGGAUUGAAUGCAAGAAGCAGUUGCUUAUGUCUCUGUUGAACCCUUUGAACAAAAUUUGGACCCAGCCAGAGUGGGAUGAAGAAUACAUGAGUUAUGCAUAUCGUCUACCUGGCCUUCUUUGCAAUGAUCAGUUUAUGAAGACAAUAUGUUUGUUGGUAGAGUCAUUUGAGGAGGAGAUCAAAGGAAGCAAAAUUGAACAUUCUACGGGAACACAGGAAAAAUGCCGUCCAACAUCAACUACCAAUUAUCUGUACUCAUCUACCUUUCCACAACUAAUGCUUGCCCUGCUCUUACGGAUCCUUCAUUUUAUACACAUGGCUUGGAUGGAUCACUCUGCGUAUGAUCUGCCAGAAAUUGUUAGAAGAGCUAAACUCAUGAGUACCAUGGAGAUAUCCACUUUUCUAGCGGAGAAUAAUACUUUACCUGACAAUGAUGGAGUCGACGCUAUUAGGGUGGAUGCUAUCGGAACAUGCUUGCGUAAAAUUCGAGAGACUGGGUACAAUGUCAUAGGCUUGUGCGCGAAUGUUGGAAGAUCAAUUUUCGAACUGGACAGUUCUCUUUUCAACCACGCUCUUGUAGCGGAUAUAAGCAUCAUGGAAUUUGAUCAUUUGGGGAAACUUAUACAGCUCACCUUCAUUCCAUUAGUCAGAUAUUGCCCUCGAGAACGUUGGGAUGAAUGGGUGCUGUUGUUGUUGGAAUAUUUAUUUUUCUACUGUGAAGAUAUCUUUCGUUAUGCGUGGCUCAGUCUUAUACACGAGGGCCGAGCUAAAGUACCAGCUUUCUUUGGUGAUCUAUAUGGACCAGAAGAAAAACUCAAGAAAUUAGAAGUGGAGCUACUGAUUAAGUUCACUCGUUCUGUAUCUUCUUUGCUCAAGGUCUUAGCAUCAGAAGAACUUAAUAGCGGCCUUCCGGAUUUGAAUUGUCCAAAGUCUGACUUGAAAUCCAUAUCUUCCAGCUCUCUUAUGGGGUAUCUUUUACUUCACAAUUGCUUUGGGAGGUUUAGUAUGUACUUGUUUGGGUGUUUGGUGGAUUAUCAAUCAGCUAAGGAAGCACUACCCUUUUUUCAUGCAUUGAUCCGCCUUGCCGUUGCUACUGAUGAUGAGAGACUAAAACAGUUUAUUCUGAAUGAAAUGCUUCCAACUCUUGUCCGGUUUGAUGAUAGGAGUCCCCCAAGUGGAAUCUCACGGUUAAAAUCGGAGUCAAAUUCAGGCAUAGAAGUGAGUUCUAUGAAGGAUAUUGUUUGCCUUUGUCAGGAAAUAUACAACGUUUACUUACAAAAUCAGGUUACUAUGACGAAUGGCGAAAUGGCAGACAGAAAAACCUGUGCGGAUGGAUUCAUCGAUUGGCUCAAUAAGGAAUUGAAGGAUCUUCAUUAUCGUGCGUCUUUGCCUGCUCCAGAUAUUUUCCCAAAGCACGUUGUGUGGAAUUGGGAGUUCAACGAAGAAUUUGACAGAUAUUUUCCUACCUAUAUGGAAAUGUUGCAUGAGGUGGAUACAAUGAAUGACUGUCUGGAGCAUAAAUUUUUAAAUGGUGAUGCUCUUCUUGAGAGAUUGAAUCCAGAGUUUAAGGCAAAGUAUGCCAUUAACAGCUUGCAACAUCCUCAUUUGCGAAUCAUGUCCCGUAUGCUACAGAGAAAGGAGUAUGAUGUAUGCUAUCGGCGACGUACUGAAGAGAUCUACGAUUUUUUGGUCGAACUUAUCAAUUUGAAACCUUACGUUAAGCAAACUGAUUGUUCGGAUGAUGUUAUGGAUCGUCUUGUGGAAAGCUGUCAACCACAAUCUGAUCUUUGGCGAAGUUAUGCACUAAGGGCAGUUGAUAUUUUCCUUGAUUCGUUGUUGAUUUUCUGGGAGCCUCAGUUUCAUCCCUUGAUACGUGAGCGCCACAAGGAGCAACUGCUAAUAAGUGCCCGUGAGUUAGCUGAAGGGUGUGCAAUUAUUGAGCCACUGGAACCUGACCCUGAUGAUUUCUUGGCGCACUUGCGGCCAUAUGCAUCGGUAUACUUUGAGAGUAAGAAGGAACAGUUUGGGUAUUAUACAGCGAAAAAACAAGUACGUCUGCAUGAAGAGUUCGAUAAUUAUUUGGCUACAUGCACAUGGGAUGAUGCUAUUGACUUGUCUUCUUUCAUGGAAAGUGCUCGUAGAGAUGAUGAGAAGUUUGCAGAACUGGAUCCUGAUCUUGCCAAAAUGUCCUUUGAGCGGAUGACCAAUAUUGCUGAGCGGAAACACAAAAUGAACUCUUACACUCAGAGUUUGAGAGAUCUUAAUGAUGAGGUGAAAGGUCAACUUGCAAGCUUGAUGGAUUUGCUGGAUGAAGAAGGCUUUUUCAGUACUGAUGAUUCUUCUAUUGAUUGGGAUAAAGAAUCAUUUAAGAAAUUAUUGGAUCAAUUUAAUGCUUUGACUGGGCAUUGCUUUGAUGGAUGUUAUGCAAUCCAAGCAAUAAUGGAUCUUCAAAAAUUCUUACCAAGAAAAGAUGAUGACACAUGUCAUGACGCUGUUAAAAUGGUUGAUUAUGCAAACGAGGUGUGGAAGGCAAAUCUUGAGCAUUUUUGGAGGGACACAAGGCAUUAUGAACAUAAAUACUACGACAUGCUUAGACAACCUCUUGAGAAGGUGUUUAAAUCAAGCGAGUCUGUAUCAAUGAGACCCACGUAA